UCCAUUGCUCAGUUGGUAAAGCACAAAGCUCUUAACCUUGUGGACGUGGGUUCAAGCCCUGCGAUGGAA
rfam:Triticum aestivum genome assembly, contig: Triticum_aestivum_CS42_TGACv1_scaffold_306228_4AS